AUGCACGCUGGCGGCGUGCCUAAUACUUGCCAGUCGAGCGCACAGACGAGGAGCUUGCUCCUCUGACGUUAGCGGCGGACGGGUGAGUAACACGUGGAUAACCUACCUAUAAGACUGGGAUAACUUCGGGAAACCGGAGCUAAUACCGGAUAAUAUAUUGAACCGCAUGGUUCAAUAGUGAAAGACGGUUUUGCUGUCACUUAUAGAUGGAUCCGCGCCGCAUUAGCUAGUUGGUAAGGUAACGGCUUACCAAGGCAACGAUGCGUAGCCGACCUGAGAGGGUGAUCGGCCACACUGGAACUGAGACACGGUCCAGACUCCUACGGGAGGCAGCAGUAGGGAAUCUUCCGCAAUGGGCGAAAGCCUGACGGAGCAACGCCGCGUGAGUGAUGAAGGUCUUCGGAUCGUAAAACUCUGUUAUUAGGGAAGAACAAAUGUGUAAGUAACUAUGCACGUCUUGACGGUACCUAAUCAGAAAGCCACGGCUAACUACGUG
rnacentral:rRNA from 1 species